UCCCAGCCGGAAUAGGAAUAAGAAAUUAUGUUGUUUUCCACAGAGGCGGAGGAAAGGAAGCUGAUUUCCUCCUGCUGGAGAGAAACCAAAUAAGGAAGAAGUCUCUAAGGGUGGCAUUGUCCACAAAAUUCGUGGAUUGCAGGUCUUUAUGAGAUGUACUCCGGGGGAAAUGCGCAACAGCAACAGUGAAUGGAGCCCUGCUGAAUAGUGCUUAGCUGGGGACUGAAACCCUCCGCUUCCACUAAGUCAGCUUUGCCCAGCCUGCAAGAGCUGAGGGCUCAGGGCACUGACGGGGAGGAUUUCUCCACGGAGCAGGAGAUUUGCACUCAUGCAGGACUGGGCACAUUUGGACUCUUUGGUUCUAUUGUUUUGUUUCUCACCAUCUCCGGGCUUUGCUUGCUGCUCCAGGGAGUCUGUGCGUGGAUUCAGCUGGACAGACCAGAACAAAGGCAGCAACACCUCAUGCUCCCUUUGUAUCAUCCUCACAGAGGCUGCUGUAAGGCACGGGGGUGGUCCCAGCAGCAGCCAGGAUCUCUGAGCCUCAACUCCCAUUACAUUUACUCACCUAUUUUGGCCAUGUCAUGUCUCUUCCUGCUUUUCUACAGCACUACUUUGGAGCCAGACUGUCAGGACCCAGAGGGCACUAACUGUCCUUAAUAGUCCUGACUGGCCUCACCUGGGGCCUCCAUCACACCACCUGCCAUGGGCCCAGGAGCCCAUUUCAACUCAGCCCAGGACAUUUGGUGGUGCCUGAACUAUGAUAAAGGAGUGUCUGUCGCUUAUCCAGCUAUAGCUGUGCCUGUUUCUGGCUGUGGGUCCUGUUGAUCCUGGCUUCCUGGCUUGACCUGCCUCAUCACCAUGAACUUGUCUAAAGGUCUGGAGUCUUGGCUGAACCUGGUGAUCAUGCCUGCACUGCUUGCCUUGCUUAGGUACUGUGGGAAGGGACUCUGGCUGGUGAGGUCCCUGUUCUGCUGGUCGACUUAUCACACCCUGCUCUGCUCCUCUAGGGAGCUGCUGGCCCUUGCUGCACUCUGGCAUGGGCCCUGUCACCCAGGACUCUGGCUGUCCUGGGGCAAUUGCCUGGCCCCAGUGCAGGCGUGUUGUGGCUGAAGCAGCGUUUGGAGCCAGCCCGUGUCGUUCAGCAUGAAAUCACGGUUAGUAGGCAGCUUACUUUCUCUUGUCUGAAUGCGGUCCUCAAAGGAAAAGCUCUAGUCAGCAAAGAGGGCACCUCACAGCUGGAGCAAGCAGGAGGAUUCAGAGACUUGAUGGGAGAGAGAGAUAGCCACUGCGGGCUGCUGCAGGAACUGUGUAACUGGAAGGCUGA